rnacentral:rRNA from 1 species
AUUGAACGCUGGCGGCAGGCCUAACACAUGCAAGUCGAACGAGUGGCGGACGGGUGAGUAAUGUCUGGGAACCUGCCUAGUGGAGGGGGAUAACUACUGGAAACGGUAGCUAAUACCGCAUACCAUCGGAUGUGCCCAGAUGGGAUUAGCUAGUAGGUGGGGUAAAGGCUCACCUAGGCGACGAUCCCUAGCUGGUCUGAGAGGAUGACCAGCCACACUGGAACUGAGACACGGCCCAGACUCCUACGGGAGGCAGCAGUGGGGAAUAUUGGACAAUGGGCGAAAGCCUGAUGCAGCCAUGCCGCGUGUAUGAAGAAGGCCUUCGGGUUGUAAAGUACUUUCAGCGGGGAGGCGUUACCCGCAGAAGAAGCACCGGCUAACUCCGUGCCAGCAGCCGCGGUAAUAC